rnacentral:tRNA from 1 species
GGUUUCGUAGCUCAGUCGGAAGAGCGGCGCUUUGGGAUGCCAUUGCGCGAACAACGCGGGUUCGAUUCCUGCCGAAACCACCA